AAUAGACGGCUCCAUAUGCUCUGAUUCAUUAUUUUGAUUCCGAUCCAGGAGCACUACCAAAGUGUUUCAAAG
rnacentral:tRNA from 1 species